UACGGAGGGUGCAAGCGUUAUCCGGAAUCAUUGGGUUUAAAGGGUCCGCAGGCGGACUUAUAAGUCAGUGGUGAAAGCCUACAGCUUAACUGUAGAACUGCCAUUGAUACUGUAAGUCUUGAAUAUGGUCGAAGUGGGCGGAAUAUGACAUGUAGCGGUGAAAUGCAUAGAUAUGUCAUAGAACACCGAUAGCGAAGGCAGCUCACUAGGCCAUUAUUGACGCUCAGGGACGAAAGCGUGGGGAGCAAACAGG
rnacentral:rRNA from 1 species